rnacentral:misc_RNA from 1 species
UCCUGGUUAACCCAGGCAGUCUCGUAUGAGAAAUACAACAUACGACGAGGGUUGCGUUCGUUGCGGGACUUAACCCAACAUCUCACGACACGAACUGACGACGACCAUGCAACACCUGUCACCGGUCCAGCAGACUGACCACCCUGUUUCCAGGGCGUACGACCGGGAUGUCAAGACUUGGAUAAGGUUCUUCGCUUAGCGUCGAAUUAAACCACACGCUCCACCGCUUGUGCGGGUCCCCGUCAAUUCCUUUGAGUUUUAAGCUUGCGCUCGUACUCCCCAGGCGGGGUGCUUAACGCGUUAGCUUCGAUACCCGGGGGAUCUAUGCCCCAGAUACCUAGCACCCAUCGUUUACGGCGUGGACUAC